GAGGGGAUAGCUCAGUGGUAGAGUGUGUGCUUAGCAGGCAGGAGGUCCUUGGUUCAAUCCCCAGUACCUCUA
rnacentral:tRNA from 1 species